GCCCGUAGUGACGAUUUAUAAUAACGGAAAUCCAUGGCGAUGGCCAAUCUGUCACCAGAGGGCGUAUUACGAGAACUCUGCGUAGAUGGGCGAUGGCAUGUGCCAAUAUCUGUCAACACAUGGUUGAAAACUGUGCGAUGUCUGGAAUUGUCAAAGGGUGCUUGUGAAAUAUCCUUGGAUACUGUAUCACGCGUGUCCAAAUGCCCUACAAACAAAGAAGAAUAUGAAUAUGACGCAAAGAGGAAGAACUGUAGCCAAUACAACAACGCGAGAUGUCCACCACUUCUGUAUCACUGUGUCUGGAAUGACAAUACGACAUAUUUGGUCGAGGUGUGUGCGGCAUUACGGUAUAUUUCUAUUGGAAAAUGUGCGUUAUUCAGUACAGGUUAUCUCAUCAUUCGCGAUAACUAUGUAAGAAAUUGUUCCUACCUAACCCCUCCAUGUUUGCAGUUCUACGAAUCUACGGAGUCUUACAAAUACUCUGGAUGUUAUACAUUGGACGAGAAUUCAAAACCUGUAGCAGAUAGAUCUGGCAUUGCAAAAAACGAAGUGUUUCCGACCUGGGCUAUAGUUCUGUUCAUCUUACUAGCUUGUAUCGCAUUCAUAACAACUGUGGUCUACACUAUUCACAGAUGUAGACACAAAAGAAACCUGUAGUAAACUGUAGAAAAUGGGGUGACCCUGGGUCCUACUUGAGGGUAUGGAUUAUCCUCGUGCGUUGCGAAGCAAAGUUACAGCGACUGAUCUCACAAUGCAGGGAUAUAUGGAAUAUCAUACAAUAAAACAGAGCAAACCCGACAAAUUCUGAGAAUGAAGUCACUGGUGUCAUGUUAGAGAAACGGAUAGAACUUAACCAAGGACAGUGUAAUAUAUAACUGGAUAUAGCAUUCAAUGGCGAGUCUUCUCAUACAUGUCAAACUACGAUUGGAAGGAUUAUUAUUCGUCCUUUUGGUCUGGUAGUUACAUCUUACGAACCUGAUUUAUUUCAUACGAUCAUUUGCAUUAUACAAUAUCACCAUUGUUUUAUUUUCACAUGUCAGUGAGUAGUUAGAUAAUUACAACAGUAGUACAUCCAUGCUAGCGCGGAAAUCAUUUAAACAUCUUUAACCCCUCAAAUGUGAAUCAUAAACCUUGAACUCUUUGGCGUAUCGCCAUUCACCCCAUAUACCCCGGCUUACACACUAAGAGGUCAGAAUAAGUAUUUCACAUCACUAUUUCACUAUUUAUAGCUCGCCUUACACUACAAGGAGACCUCAAAUAAUAAAAAAAAUCACUAUUCCACUUCAAAAACAUCAAUUCAUUCUUAAAUAGAUACCGAACACAUACGUUAACUGCAAUUCCUUAUUGUAUUUUAUUGCUAUGAUGUGUCGAGUAAAAAUAGCAGAACCAAAGUAAGAUACAAAAAAGGCAUCCAAAAUAAUUCUAAUUUCUUUUUAAAGAAAAUGUGUAUAUUUCUAAUAUAUCAUAGAGAUAACAUAUAUACUUAUAAACUGAUAAAUUUUGACAAUAAAAUCCGAACCGCUUGCUCCAGAGUUACUACUAGCACCUUUAAUAUUGUUUUAUAUGUAAGGUGAAGUCCCUAAGCUGCAAUGGGAUUUUACUUGACCAGUAAAUUUUGUAAAAGUAAUUAAACAUCUACUUUUGUUUUCAAUAAACUACCCUGGAAUCGCAAAAAUGAUAGUAGAUUGGUGGAUACACUUUGGUGGAUUUAAGUCAGUUUUUAAAGUUAAAUGAAGUAAAUCCGUUGUUUAUCGAUGUUUGAUUUUGAUCUUGCUGAGGAGUUAAGAUCUGAUAAUUGUUGAACAGAUAAGAUAUGCCCGUUCGUUUCUUCAAUUCGUGAUUUUAGUCCUGAAUAAACGUCAUGGAAAUUUUGAGAACGAAACACCCAGAGCGAGCCCAUAUAUACCGUCUUUAUGAAGAUUUAUAAUUAUAUUACUUAUAUACAUCUUAGUAAAUUUAGGGUACCCCCUACCCUACCGAGAAUAGUGAUCCGACACACCGAUAAAUGUUUAAAUACAAUAUUCAUCUGAUAUUUUCGAUGUUAAUUUCUCCGUCAUUAUAAAAGUCGCAAUUACGAGGUUUUGUAAUAAUUUAUUAAAAUUCACUGAUAUGUACAUGUACAAACACAUGGGUGAACACAAAAACGUUUUCAUUUUGGUUGAACGUGUCUUGUGAUGACACAUAUCUUGAAAGUAAGUAAUAGGUCGAAAACUAUCCAAUACGUCAGAUAUCGAAUGGUCCGAAACUGUUCUGGGGAGCUUACGCCUUAUAACUGUACAUUUAAAACAUUUUACCGAAAUAUUAGGUUGUACACUACCUGGCAAUGUCCCAGAAAUCAGAUCGCUGUUUACAAUAUAACAGCAUUUUCUGUUUGAUAUUCAGAUUAUGCAUCAUGUUUUCGAUUACUGCGUUUGGCGAGAAAAAAACACGUGUAUCUAUUGUACAUUGUUGCACUGGACAAAAACUGCCUUUAUAAAUACAUCGCAAUUUUGAAAUUAUGAAUCACCGUCUAUUUUGUCUUUGGUAAAAAUUCGGCAUGGAGGACUACGAUUACAUUCGUAAAUUCAUUAUUUAGUUUUCAAUGCGGAGAUAGAUCAUUUGUGUUACAUAAAGAAUAUUUAAUUUGGACCUCCAUGUGGCUUCAUAGUAAUCGAAUCUUAUUUACCGCACAUGAUAUCAAUGCAUAUAACCUAACCAACGCACGCAAUUAUUUAAAAAAAAAUAGUCUUAAAUCCAUUUGAAUAAAGAUACAACUGUAUCGUUCAUUGAAACAUAUAUUUAAAAAGUCCUUCCUUUUCGCGAUAUCAUUGAUUUCAUCUAGCUGUUUAAUCAAAUUGUUAUGUGUUCAUAUUACAUUAAAACCCAGUGCCUUGCCGAAUGUUUCUGCAAUGUAUUUUCCCAUUCUUUUUUUUUUUUCUUUUUUUUAUAAUUUAUGGAUUAUCAAACAUGUGUUCAAUAGGUAAAGAAUCUAUUUAGAAAAUGCACUGCCUUUUGCAAUCCAUUUACUAGCAAUAUUGCUGUAUUUUAAAGGUUACGUAAUUUUAAAAACUUUGUUUAGCAAUAUGAUUAUCAAUUAUAUUAUAUACCUUUGCAUUGACAAUAGCAAUAUAUAUUACAAGUUCAAAAUGUCAAGCCACUUGUGUUCCAUGCAUUUUCAUCUCUAUGCGCAAUUUAAAUUUGCAUUUUAAAGCUGUUUUAUGUUUCAUUGUGGAUUGGUUUAUGACAUAUAAAUGUGGUAUUGUGUGUUGGUGAAUUCAGCAUGUCUGUAGCAUGUCUGUAGCAUACAUUAAGCUUUUCAAUGAUGUAGAGUUCAAAUAAGUAAUCAAUUUAGAAAACAUACUAUUAAAGAGACUCUGUCAGUAAUCAUGGAGAAUAUUUUGGAAAAUGCAUUUUUUAAUUGAAGAAUUCUUUAAAAAAAAUAUUGAAACUGCAUAUAUUGGUCACUUAAACUCAAAUAAUACAAUGUUAUUGCUAACUUUGUUGUUACCAUGAUCACAAGGACAAAGUCCUUGAAAAAACAUCAACAGUGAAAUAUACCUUUUUAAAGUAAAAAAAUCAAUAAAAUUAAGAUAAUAAGAUGCAUUUUUUUUAGUUUAAGGUAAAUAAACAAGGCUUAUAUAUAUAUAUAUAUAUAUAUAUAUAUAUAUAUAUAUAUAUAUAUAAUGAAGUAAGAAAUUUUAAUAUCGCAGCAAAAUUGAUUGACAUGGUAACAAACAUGCCUUGCAUUGUAUACAGUCAAAAAUUCAAAUAAAACAAUAGACUUUUUUCAGAGGCGCAGCACAAUCAGUCAAUGUAUAUCAUAUAGAAAGAAGACACAAAUGUUAGAUUUCUAUUCAAAACAAUAAAAUCAUUUAAACAACUUUUUGUUUUUGUUAGUGACCUUACCAAAAGCACCAUUUUUUUUCAUGUUCAGCUACAUUUUCGAAAAUUUAUCUAAUUAACUAACUAUUUCAGGGCAAGACUAUUUGCUAUUUGGGUGCAUUGAUUACUCUUUAAUGCCAUUCUAAAUUCUAUUGAAACUUGUAAAUGACCUUGUCCUAUAAUAUCAAGGUCACAUACAAUAACCAGUGACCGUCAUAUUUAAUCAGUUAACAUAAACUUCAGAUGGAUUUGAUUUAAACAUGUAUAUAUCUUAUCUACUAACCAACCUGUGUAUAUAAAAAAAGAAAUAAAAUUGAAUAUUGAUGUAUGGCUCUGUGCAUACCUCAACUAUGAGAAAAUAUAUAUAACAAAGUCAUAGAACAUAAUACAAAAAUCACCAGGUCGUUAAGUUUACUAUUGGGGGACUGUCAAAAUACACGUAUGUUGGAAAAGUAGGCCUCACAUAUUUCUUUAUUUCGAUUUGUAAUUGGAAAACGUGUGUGUGUGCUAUACAUGUACUAAUAACCUGAUGAUAUAGGAAUGCCAUAUUUGUUAGAGGACCUACCAACGAAAUACGCAGUGCACAAUAACCCACCCCGUCCCUUCUCAUAUAAACAGAAAUCCACAUCGUUACGUUUACAAUAUUUCGAAAUACGAAUUGCAUUACAAUAGAAACUACAUUGACCAAUUGGUAGAAUAUAAUAUGAUUCAGUGAAAAUACUGUGCUUUGAAUACACAAAAAGUGCAUCACAUUGCCUGUUGAGUAUGACGCAAUUUGAGAUUAAAGUGUGACAUUAGCAUUGAUACUAUUGUGUAAAAUAUGAUUUAGAUAUUUCUAUUAGACGGAUCUUGUUUAGGGUGGGUUUUUUUUCACGAGAAACGAAUGUUCUACAAUAUAUAUACAUCAAAUUUUACUUAUCAUUGAUUUACUAUCAGUCAAGCCAGUUGGUAUGAUAUUGGAAUGGUUACAUGGAUUCUAACGUUACUAUUAACUACUAUAUAAAAUUUGAUUCACAGGAAAAUAGGCAACUAUCUACAGUCAUUUUCUUUCAAGGUUUCUAUUAAUUCGAUUCCUUGAUGACCAUCCAGAAUUUUUGAUGCCGUCUGCUAAGUGAUAUUCAUUCAUUUCUUCCAUUAAUUCUAGAGAGUUCGCAUAAGGGGUAUAAUCAUUGUGUAAAAUGAUUGGCACCAGUGUGGAGUGUUUGGAGGGGGUACAGAAAGAGUAAAGUGUUUUACUGUCUUCAUUUACUAUAUUGGUAACAUAAAUAGCUGUCUUAAAAAAGACAUGUAGAAUUAAUGUCAGCCCUGCUGUGCUUUAGAGAAAAUAUAGUCUGAAAAGAGGUCAUAAAUGCUCGUCUUUUUACCUUAAUUUUUAAUAAUAAAGAGGAAAAUAUGUAUUUUUCAAACACAAGUAUAAUGAUUUAAGUACAUUGUAUUUUCUUGAAUUUCCCUUCACUGUACCUUGUUGGGAAAUUGCUUUAUUAGAAAUAUUUGUGAAAAGAUUAACAAAGCUUAACAUCUAAAGAUUUAACUGUGGGCACGGUUUGAUGCCAUAGAAACACGAUGCAUCAGGUGCAUCAACAUUGGUACCGUAUACGUUUUACAUGGUUCCCGUAAUUUCCACUUUUUUAAAAUCUACUAUAUCGCAAUGCACAAAAGUGUUAGAUUUUCGUUCAGAUUUGCGAUUUUUGCACUUUCCACUUUUUAAAAGACAAUUCUUAAUGGUUACUGACAACUUCUCUUAAACAUUUUAUUUCUUCAUUUGUAAAUAACUCUCUAAUGAAUGUAUGACUAGUUUGUAUCUUAAUAAAACGAAGACUUCUUUUGCA